UGAAGCUGUUUAAUGAAAGAAAAAAAAAGAUCUAUUUUUCAAGCUACUCUCAUGUUGUCUAAAAAUUGCGCUGGCUGUAAUGCCAGUUAUAUCGGAGACAGAUAUUUGAAAACAGGGAUUGAUAAACACAUUAAAACUGAUAAGUAUUUAUAUUUAAAUGCAUUAGUUAAGUGUAAAAAUCAAUCUAAUCAUGUUUCAAUUCAGGUUUGGAUACCAAUCAAACAUUUGGAUACCAAUCAAACAAAAGGUAAAGGAAGCGCUCCACGUAUGAAAAUCCCUCACUCAAUAAACAAACUUCUCAAAAUUAUAUUUGUAAAGUUAAAUCGUGAGAAGCCUUUUACAAGCAUGGAGCUGCCAUCAUCUUUGAAUAGAGGAAUAACUUAAGCAGUUUUAAAAUGAUCUGGAAAAACUUAUUAACCCAUUGAUGAUUUAAAUUUUGUAAAGCGUUUUCAAGGCUUUUCAAACUCAUCAAAUAAUAACUUAGCAAAUAACUCAUGUGAGUCAAUGCAAUUCAUUCACAUGUACUAACCACAUGUACUCACAUAUCCAUCGUACUAAGAAAUCUUUAAAUGAGAAACGGAUCUUCAGAUUUUUGCUUUAGAAGAAUAGAAUAUUUUGCUUACUUGAAUGAUGAUGACACUUUUAAAUUGUUUAAAAGAAAAUGUUGAGCGCGAUAAUAACGACUUUUAACUGCUUUAGCUUGGUUUUUUUUUACUUUUUACGGCCAUAAAAAAAUUUGUAUGUAUAAAAAUCUUUUGAAAAU